AUUGAACGCUGGCGGCAGGCUUAACACAUGCAAGUCGAGCGAGCGGCGGACGGGUGAGUAAUGUCUGGGAAACUGCCUGAUGGAGGGGGAUAACUACUGGAAACGGUAGCUAAUACCGCAUACCAUCAUAUGUGCCCAGAUGGGAUUCGCUAGUAGGUGGGGUAAUGGCUCAACUAGGCGACGAUCCCUAGCUGGUCUGAGAGGAUGACCAGCCACACUGGAACUGAGACACGGUCCAGACUCCUACGGGAGGCAGCAGUGGGGAAUAUUGCACAAUGGGCGCAAGCCUGAUGCAGCCAUGCCGCGUGUGUGAAGAAGGCCUUCGGGUUGUAAAGCACUUUCAGCGAGGAGGCGUUACUCGCAGAAGAAGCACCGGCUAACUCCGUGCCAGCAGCCGCGGUAAUAC
rnacentral:rRNA from 1 species